rnacentral:rRNA from 1 species
AUUCUAUGUUGGAACGUACGUGGGCUUAAUUGUCCAGAUCGGCGUGCUGCUGUUCAUGAGACCAUUGCUGCCUCCUCUUGCCAUCUAGUUUGCAUACAAGAAUCGAAGUUGCAGACCGUUGAUCCCAUUGUCGCCUCUUAUCUGGGUGGUCAGCGCCUCAAGAGUUUUGCCCAAAGACCGGCCGAUGGCACUAAAGGGGGCAUCCUGCUUCUAUGGGAUAAUGAUGUUGUUACCAUAACCAAUGUAGAAAUUGGAGCGUAUUUCCUCUCUGCAACCGUGAAUCUCAACAACUCC